UACGUAGGGUGCAAGCGUUAAUCGGAAUUACUGGGCGUAAAGCGUGCGCAGGCGGUUAUGUAAGACAGAUGUGAAAUCCCAGGGCUCAACCUUGGAACUGCAUUUGUGACUGCAUAGCUAGAGUACGGUAGAGGGGGAUGGAAUUCCGCGUGUAGCAGUGAAAUGCGUAGAUAUGCGGAGGAACACCGAUGGCGAAGGCAAUCCCCUGGACCUGUACUGACGCUCAUGCACGAAAGCGUGGGGAGCAAACAGG
rnacentral:rRNA from 1 species